rnacentral:rRNA from 1 species
UUAAGAAAAUAAGUGCAAGCGGUGGAUGCCUUGGCAUUCAGAGGCGAUGAAGGACGUGAUAAUCUGCGAUAAGCUUCGGUUAGCUGGUAAAUGAGCUAUGACCCGGAGAUUUCCGAAUGGGGGAACCCACCUGACACAAGUUGGGUACUCACUCGAUAUAGAGUGUAGAGC